GGAGGUUGGUGGUGGACGAGCCACUCGCCAACCGGGUCAGAUCCGGAAGGAAGCAGCCCUAACGAGUCCCGGCACGGGUCAUCGUGCCAGCCUCCCAC
rfam:Roseibium sp. TrichSKD4 genomic scaffold scf_1119120597011, whole genome shotgun sequence.